UAAAAGGGUCGGUUGGCUAAUUACGCCACGCUCGCCCUUGACUGGUGAGUGCUGUAUGGCUAUCAAGACAUAUGGCCGACAUAAUUUUAAAGCCAGAGAAUGCAUAUGUUAGAGAUUGGCAAAUUCUA